rnacentral:rRNA from 1 species
GACGAACGCUGGCGGCGUGCCUAAUACAUGCAAGUAGAACGCUGAAGAGAGGAGCUUGCUCUUCUUGGAUGAGUUGCGAACGGGUGAGUAACGCGUAGGUAACCUGCCUUGUAGCGGGGGAUAACUCUUAGAAACGAUAGCUAAUACCGCAUAACAAUGGAUGACACAUGUCAUCUAUUUGAAAGGGGCAAUUGUUCCACUACAAGAUGGACCUGCGUUGUAUUAGCUAGUAGGUGAGGUAAUGGCUCACCUAGGCGACGAUACAUAACCGACCAGGGAGGGUGAUCGGCGAAGCUGGGACUGGAAGACGGCCCAGACCCCUACGGGAGGCAGCAGUAGGGAAUCUUCGGCAAUGGGGGCAACCCUGAACGAGCAACGCCGCGGGAGUGAAGAAGGUUUUCGGAUCGUAAAGGUCUGUUGUAAGUCAAGAACGGGUGUGAGAGUGGAAAGUGCACACUGUGACGGUAGCGUACCAGAAAGGGACGGCUAACUACGUG